rnacentral:rRNA from 1 species
UACGGGGGGGGGCGAGCGUUGUCCGGAGUACUGGGCGUAAAGCGCACGCAGGCGGUUUCGUACGUCUGGAGUGACAGUUCCCGGCUCAACUGGGAAAGGUCUUCGGAAACGGCGAGACUUGAGGGCUUCAGAGGGACACGGAAUUCCGGGUGGAGUGGUGAAAUGCGUAGAGAUCCGGAGGAACACCAAUGGCGAAGGCAGUGUCCUGGGAAGCAUCUGACGCUCAGGUGCGAAAGCUAGGGGAGCGAACAGG